AAAAAUUUAAACCUUUUUUAAAGGAUUGCUUGCAUUUGAUACGGGAGAAGUCAUCGUCGUUCAUAGCCUUAAAUUUAGGCUAUGAACAAGGUGAGCAGUGUCGUUCUUAGUUUGAGCGUGAGCAGCGUGCCAUUGUUGUCCAUAUAGAGAGGGGAGUAGUCACUGUUAACGCUUGAGCUUGAGCAGCGUGCCACCGUGAUGGAGUAGCCGUGCCACCGUGAGAACGCAAACGGAGUCUCUACGAUUUUGCCCUAGGUUUUCAUCUCGAUUCCUUUCUUUCUGUGUUGUGUAAUUUUGUUAUUGAUUCCAACUCUUUCUCGUUUUUAGACAAUGAGAUAUUAGAGAAUUUGUUUCACCAUAUUCAGUUGAGUGAUUUCCACAUGCUUCAACCUUAAACACAUUCCAAAAACUUGAAAAACCCUUCCAAUAGCGCCCUGAAUUUCCAAAAUUUCCCAAAUUUCCCAAAUGCUGCCCUCAGAAACGAAACCACAAAUUUAAGAACAAGCUCCUACACUGAUAGUCGUGGUUCUUCUUUGGUUCUUUCUUCCAAUUUACAUGCUACUUGUGCUCGCGGUAACAGUUCAUUCUUCUGUAGUUUUUUCUUCUACAGUUCGUUUUUAUUUCGAUUUUCUCAUUGGUUAGGGUUCAUGGUGACCUAAGUAGAGUUGAUCAUUCUCUUGUAAUUGCUUUUGUCACUAUGUUUGGACUAAUAUGCAUAUCUCUAUAUAUCACACCAUGCAUCUAUGACCUCCCUGUACCUCAAAUCAACUCAUAUGUAAUCAUACUCCUUGCCUUUUCUCCAAUAAACAAUUUUGUAGACUCUAUUUGACUAUUUUUAUAAUUAUAUACAUAUAUAUUCCCAUGGACAAUAUAUAUUGUUAUGAGCGUGGACAAUGCAUACUGGUGUUGUUGCCAUUAAUCAAAUCAGUCUUUAAUAAGAUGUUUGGUUUGGUGGAGAAUUAGAUUUAAAUCGAAGUUGGUUUAUAUAAAGGAAAUAAAAAAAAUCGAAGUUGUUCCUACCGACCAUGUUGUUUUUCCCUGUUUCUUUUUUCUUUUAUAAAUUAUCAUUUUCCACAUUUUUUAAUCUACUUUUUCUUAAAAAAUACUCAAAACUGUAACAAUAUUUGUGUAUUGAAGUUGCUGAAAUUUGUAUCAUUCUUAUAGGUAACCUUUUUUCUUCCUUUCUCUCAUGUUUGUUCUGUUAAAGUUUUCAUGAUUUAUCUUGAGAAAUGAAGUUGCUUGCUAAGUGUUUGAGCUACAUUUCUAAGGUUGAAAUAUUGAGUACUAGUUGAUUUCUAAUGUACCCUUAAACAAUAUCCAUCAUAAUUUUAAAAUGAUAGGGCAAUUUGUGAUGCUUUACUUUUUUUAAUUUGUUUAUAGCAGUGUAUUUGUAAAGGAGCUAGUUAGUAUACUUUGAAUGUUUUGGAAGGAAAUUUUAUUGAAGUUUUUUAUCAAAUCUUUGGAGUCAUUAUUUAUGACAAUAAUCAUGCUCUUCCAGAGUCUGAAGAUGUAGAGUAACAGCUCUGAAGAUGUAGAGUAACAGCUGUGUUUUCAGGUGGAAAACAAAUAUGGCUUAACAGUUCUUAUUUGUUUGCAGAUCACAACCAUAAUCAAUUCAGAAUAGAAGAAUAGUGCUUUGAGGUGAGUGUUCAAACUAUUUUGUUAAAGAAAUCAGCAAAUGAAAUGUUAUGGUAAACAUUGAAAGCAAAGUUGAAAGUUGAAUGUUAUAAUAAAAGGGCAUUCUUUUCUUAUUUUAUUAUUAUUGAUAACAGUUCUUACACAGGACAAGUUAUUUUCUAUCAAAUAUUCUAACAAUACUAUACUGCUUAUAGGUCCAAACUAUCAAUUCUGUGUGAUGCUGAGGUUGCUCUCAGGUACCAUUAUUUCUCCUCCUUCAACUUUCCCUUUUCUUCUUCUUAAAUUAAUGUGUGAAUGCUUAUGCUUCCUGUAAUUUUAGCACCCCUCUUGCAACCAAGACUAGUUCCUUUAAUAUGUGACCUUGUAAAUUUCAUGCAUACCUAUAAAAUUUCACUUGUAAUGAUCCGUGUGAAAAGGUUAUUCAUAAUUUUGUGUAGGUUUAUGUGCAUGAUGUGACUACUGUUAGUUCCCUGGAAUAUAUGUAGCUGAAGGUAAUUGAGACUUUAUGAAAUUAUCAUUAAUUUAAAAUGUGUUAUCAAGGAUUGAAAUUGACCACAGUGUGCGUGUGACAAUUCCUAGAAAAGAAUUAUGAAUAAGAAAUGAGUGAAUGUUAAAGAAUAAAGAGGCAUAAUGUUAGCAGUAAUUAUCUAGUGUUGUGCAGGUUGUUAGAAUUCACAUAUUCAGAUAUUCAGAUAUUCAGAUAUAAAAUUAGAAUGAUUAGAAUUCACAUAUUCAGAUUGUUAGGUCUAAGUUAAUAUAACUGUUUCCAAAGGUAAUAAAAUGAUUAGCAGCUGCAGUUGAUGAGGGAAAUUGCAUCAUGUCUUUGCUAUUCUCAUCACUUUGCAUCAUGGAAAUUAGAGGUGUGCUAAAGGAGAAAAAUCUCAUUCUUAUUAUUCUCAUUCAUACCCUUUUACAGUAGUUUCUUAAUUUUAUUCUUUUCUUCACAUGUAUAAGUUUUAUCUUAAACUAUUCUUCUCCUUUUAUGCAUGAAACAUGUCUCCAAGUAACAUUAUUAUACUUUGUUUCAGAUCUAGAACAACCUAUUUGCUCGAUUACUGGUUUGCCUGCCAAGUAAGAUCUCUUUUAUCAACUUGGUAGUUCUUGCAUUUUUCUUUUCUAAUGUUGCAGUUCUUGGUUAAAAUUGUCUUUGGAUAGCUUGUAUUCUUGUUAUUUAUGUUAUUAGUACUUGAGUAUUUUUUUGGGAUGGGAAGUUUGGAUAUGCUUUCCUUGCAUAGAACAAUCGGUUUUAUGUUAUCUACUGUUAAGGAAUUCUUUAGUCUAUUUCCACUAUACCCACAUAUUGUUAAGGAAUUCUCUCUGGAAUAAUAUAGGUAUCGUGAUCCAAAGACUGGCCUGCCAUAUAACUCUUUUCCUUGUAUUAACUAAUUCUGUUUUAGUCCACUUAUUGCACAUCACUCAUAAUGCCAUUUGUAUGUACUUCAACCAUACUUUAUUUUUUUGGUCCAUAAUUGUUCUUUUGUGGGUUUGGAACUUGAUCUUGAGCAUUAUGUAUAUGCAGCUAACUUGACAGAGAAUCCAAGGUCACCGGUUAGUGGGUCUGGCAGCAAUUCAUCUCCCCAUCAAGGUUUUACUUUCAAAACUGCAUUCUGUAAUUAUGAUAAUUGACUAAUUAAAAACAUAAAUUGGUCCAUUGAUCCCUUUACUAAAUUUUUGCUGCUUACUUUCAACCUGUUCAUUUUUUCACCAUGAAUCCUCACUUUUUUUUGUAAUGUAUCUGCAAUUGGAUGUACAUAAGAAUUUAAUUGGUUCAAGAUUAAACAUGUCUUCUGCGCUUCGUAUUUUUAUAUUAGGUGAUAACAUGAUUGUACUUAUUCAUAAUAACUAAUUAGACUUACAGACAAGGUAAAGAAUCAUCAAAUUUUUUUCUACAGGUUUUAUUGCUAAUAAAUAUUUUAUGUAUUUUUUCUUAUUGUUUUCAUUUGUUUCUCAUUUUUUUUAGACUGCUUUUGGUAUUUGGUAUAUGAAGAACCUAUAAUCUACUGGGCUGCCGAUUUUCAAUGGAAUGCCUUAAAAAACAACUGUUCCUAAGAUCCUGAAUAUAACCACCAAGAUAUCACUAUACAUGUAUGAUCUGCCCUUUUGUUGCCUUUGUUUUGGAAGAAAAGACUAAAAGGGGCUUAUUUUGCAGCCAAACAAGCUUCUCUUGUCUCCCCCAUUUUACCUUCAUUUCCACAUAUGUAAAUGUCUAAAACCCUUAAUUUCUGCAAAUUUCUACCGGUAAAAAGAUAAGGAAAAUUCUACAUAAAUCAUUAUUUGGUUAAAUUUCUUGGUAGUUCUUGUAGUUUAACAAAUUUUACAUUUUAAUUCUUAUAAAUUUUACAUUUUAAUUCUUAUAUGAAAGACCAUCAAUUUUAGAUUUUAUGCAUUGUAUUUUUAAUCUUCUUUAGUCAUUAUGAAUUUAAAUAAAGUGAAAUGUAUGCUAUAACUAAUUAAACUUAGAGAUGGUACCAAUAAAAGACUAAUAUGAGAGAAUGAAUAGUCAAUAUUACAUAUGUCUGGUGCUGAUUUGGAGUUUAAAAAUUUGCAUUUAUUUAUUGUAUAGUAUUUUUUCUUCGAUAGAGAAAGAUUAUAUGAAAAAAAUGAGAAAAAGUAUGAUAUAAGAUAAUCUAUACUAUUAUUAAAUACAAACUAAUAUUUUAAAAAAUAGUUAUUAUAAAUUGAAAAUUAUUGAUCUUUCUGUGCUUAACCACUUUUUAUUCAUCAAUAUAAUAAUUUAUUCAUUACGUUUGUUUUUUAGUUUUUAACUUAUCAAUUCAUUGAUGUUUUUUUCUUUUUAAUGCUAUUGAAAAAAAAGGAAAUUAAAAAAUAUUAAUAUUUAAUAUUUAAAAUCCAAACUUUUCUUUAAAAGUGGAGUUCAAUGGCUGCCAAUAAUAGGGCAUACAAAAAAAAAAUUAUGUGUCCACAUAUCCAAGGUUAAGCCCAUUCUAAUUUCAUUGUCACUUUACCAAGGUCAAGCCCUCGCUUUAUUCUAAUUUUAUUGUCCCCCUGUCCAAGGCUAAGUUCACGCUUUAUUUUUAAUUUUAUUGUCCCCUUAUCCAAGGCUAAGCCCACGCUAAUUUUAUUGUCCCCCUAGCUAAGCCUAAGCCCUCACUUUCUGUCCAAGGCUAAGCCCCCGCUUAAGUUAACAUUUGUAAUUUUUUGUGUUGGCAACUUGUAGGCAAAGCCCACGCAAGCCAACUUAUUGCGACGCCACGCACCCGACAAUUUUUUUUGCGACAAGGAUAUUAGCUUCAAAGUUGUGUGAAG
rnacentral:lncRNA from 1 species